rnacentral:sRNA from 1 species
AGAUGUGAGGGUGAUCUCGCUGUGAAGUGUCACCCACUGAUCCCCAGGGUUGGUUCAGGUGACCUAGUUGAUGAGAUGAGUUUCUCUUUCUCACUCACAGCUCCACGUGUGUUUGUUCUGAAGCUGCACACCAGUGGAAGAGUGUACAAGUAGACCAGGCAUGGUGGGUCACACCGUUAAUCCCAGCACUCUGGAGGCAGAAGCAGGCGGAUCUCUGAGACUGAGAGGCCAGCCU